rnacentral:rRNA from 1 species
GACGAACGCUGGCGGCGUGCCUAAUACAUGCAAGUCGAACGCAUUUUCUGUCACCGUAGUUUGCUACACAGAAAGAAAAGGGGGGGCAACCGGGAGGGUAACACGCUGGUAACCUGCCCAAAAGCGGGGGAAAACAAUUGGAAACAGCAGCUAAUACCGCAUAAUAUCAUUUACUGCAUGGAAGUUGGAUGAAAGGCGCACUUGAGGCACUUACGGAUGGUCAGGCGGUGGAUUAGCUAGUUGGUGGGGUAACGGCCGACCAAGGCUGCGAUGCAUAGCCGACCUGAGAGGGUGAUCGGCCACACUGGGACUGAGACACGGCCCAGACUCCUACGGGAGGCAGCAGUAGGGAAUCUUCGGCAAUGGACGCAAGUCUGACCGAGCAACGCCGCGUGAGUGAAGAAGGUUUUCGGAUCGUAAAACUCUGUUGUUAGAGAAGAACAAGUAUGAGAGUGGAAAGUUCACCCCUUGACGGUAUCUAACCAGAAAGCCACGGCUAACUACGUG